rnacentral:rRNA from 1 species
AACGCUAGCUACAGGCUUAACACAUGCAAGUCGAGGGGCAGCAUGGUCUUAGCUUGCUAAGGCCGAUGGCGACCGGCGCACGGGUGAGUAACACGUAUCCAACCUGCCGUCUACUCUUGGACAGCCUUCUGAAAGGAAGAUUAAUACAAGAUGGCAUCAUGAGUCCACAUGUUCACAUGAUUAAAGGUAUUCCGGUAGACGAUGGGGAUGCGUUCCAUUAGAUAGUAGGCGGGGUAACGGCCCACCUAGUCUUCGAUGGAUAGGGGUUCUGAGAGGAAGGUCCCCCACAUUGGAACUGAGACACGGUCCAAACUCCUACGGGAGGCGGCAGUGAGGAAUAUUGGUCAAUGGGCGAGAGCCUGAACCAGCCAAGUAGCGUGAAGGAUGACUGCCCUAUGGGUUGUAAACUUCUUUUAUAAAGGAAUAAAGUCGGGUAUGCAUACCCGUUUGCAUGUACCUUAUGAAUAAGGAUCGGCUAACUCCGUGCCAGCAGCCGCGGUAAUACGGAGGAUCCGAGCGUUAUCCGGAUUUAUUGGGUUUAAAGGGAGCGUAGAUGGAUGUUUAAGUCAGUUGUGAAAGUUUGCGGCUCAACCGUAAAAUUGCAGUUGAUACUGGAUAUCUUGAGUGCAGUUGAGGCAGGCGGAAUUCGUGGUGUAGCGGUGAAAUGCUUAGAUAUCACGAAGAACUCCGAUUG